AAGGAGGCAGAAGAACAUUAUACAAAUGCUAUAAAGAAGUCCAUAUUAGAUUACCUAUUAUUGGAUCCAUUAGAACAAGAGAGGCUCGGGAUUGUAAUUCCUCCAAAGG